rnacentral:rRNA from 1 species
UACGUAGGAUGCAAGCGUUGUCCGGAAUUAUUGGGCGUAAAGGGCGCGUAGGCGGUUGGAUAAGUCUUGUGUGAAAUCUUCGGGCUCAACUCGAAGUCUGCACGAGAAACUAUCUGGCUUGAGUGUGGGAGAGGUGAGUGGAAUUCCUGGUGUAGCGGUGAAAUGCGUAGAUAUCAGGAGGAACACCUGUGGCGAAAGCGGCUCACUGGACCACAACUGACGCUGAGGCGCGAAAGCUAGGGGAGCAAACAGG